AUACAAGAAAAAGAGAAGUCACUUCAUUCUAAAGAAGAAGAAACUAUCAUUACCAGUACCAACCCACCGUCAUCAAAACCAACAAAGAUCAAAACCCACCUCCCUCUCUGUGUCUCUCUCCUUCACAUAACCCAACUCCCUAUUCUUCUUUCUCUACAACAGCACCCUUUUCUUCUUCUUAUUUAGCAUCAACCCCACAAAGGUCACACCUUUUCUCAUCCUCCACCGUGUCCAACACCACCACCACCACCACCACCCACCUCCGCCUCCACCACCAACCCCUCUUAUCCUACGCCACCAAUGCCACCAUACCUGUAUCUGACUGCAAUAACCGAGAAGAUCUACAGUCACGUAAAACUUGCACAAAAAUACCAUAAGGGUCGUGGUGGAUGAGAAUGACAAUGACCCGGAUUCCCCAUUCGGUUUCUCUCACUUUUAAUCCUCUUGUUGAUGUCAGUAUCACCAUAUUUUUACUUUGCCACUGAAUUGGCCAACUGCACGUUCACUUCAGUAUACCUUGAAAUAUAUAUGCAUAGGAAAAUCCCUUUCCAGAAAGCUCUAAGCUGGAAUUUCUAUCAGCCUUCAGGAACUGGCAUUGAUUUAGGCUUCUUUGAAAUGAAUAACCUAUAGAAGCCCUUACCAAGAGAAGACAUCUUCCCACUUGUUAUCUUUGAGGAAACAUGGCUUGCCACCUCUCUCAACUGCUGUGCAACCUAAUCAGCCUUUGCCAACCAUGUUUCCUCAUGCUCAGAUAACUCAAGCUGUCCUGGAGAAGAAUAAUGAGGGCCAUUUUCAAGUGAGAGUAAAUAUAAGUGUAAGUGGCCAGCCCAGGAGCAAAAAAAAUAAAAUUAGUAAAGCAUCAUCCUAAGAUAGGAAAUUACCAAUUUCUUUGCACUGGUGAAAAAUCCACAGGACUCAUGGGUUGUUAUCACUCAUACAGCUUUUGAAGCACAGUCCCAAUUUGGUAAACAGCUAUAACUGCUCAUGUAAGAAGUUGUCCAUAGUUGGAGAUCAAGUUCUCUCUGUAUGGAAUUUACAGAAUCUUUCCUUGGUUUAUCUCUUUGAAAAUCUGAUACAGUUUUCUUAA